rnacentral:rRNA from 1 species
UACGUAGGGGGCUAGCGUUGUCCGGAAUCAUUGGGCGUAAAGAGCGUGUAGGCGGCCCGGUAAGUCCGCUGUGAAAGUCGGGGGCUCAACCCUCGAAUGCCGGUGGAUACUGUCGGGCUAGAGUGCGGAAGAGGCGAGUGGAAUUCCUGGUGUAGCGGUGAAAUGCGCAGAUAUCAGGAGGAACACCAAUUGCGAAGGCAGCUCGCUGGAACGUAACUGACGCUGAGACGCGAAAGCGUGGGGAGCAAACAGG